CACGUAGGCGGAUUGUUAAGUCGGGGGUGAAAUCCUGGAGCUCAACUCCAGAACUGCCUUCGAUACUGGCAAUCUCGAGUCCGGAAGAGGUAAGUGGAACUCCUAGUGUAGAGGUGGAAUUCGUAGAUAUUAGGAAGAACACCAGUGGCGAAGGCGGCUUACUGGUCCGGUACUGACGCUGAGGUGCGAAAGCGUGGGGAGCAAACA
rnacentral:rRNA from 1 species